CCUACGGGAGGCAGCAGUGGGGAAUAUUGGACAAUGGGGGGCAACCCCUGAUCCAGCCAUGCCGCGUGUGUGAAGAAGGCCUUUUUGGUUGUAAAAGCACUUUUCAGCUGGGAAGAUAAUGACGGUACCAGCAGAAGAAGCCCCGGCUAACUCCGUGCCAGCAGCCGCGGU
rnacentral:rRNA from 1 species